rnacentral:rRNA from 1 species
UGAGUAAUGUCUGGGAAACUGCCUGAUGGAGGGGGGAUAACUACUGGAAACGGUAGCUAAUACCGCAUAACGUCGCAAGACCAAAGAGGGGGGACCUUUGGGCCUCUUGCCAUCAGAUGUGCCCAGAUGGGAUUAGCUAGUAGGUGGGGUAACGGCUCACCUAGGCGACGAUCCCUAGCUGGUCUGAGAGGAUGACCAGCCACACUGGAACUGAGACACGGUCCAGACUCCUACGGGAGGCAGCAUG